CAAUAGCGUAUAUUUAAGUUGUUGCAGUUAAAAAGCUCGUAGUUGGAUUUCGGAUGGGAUUUGCCGGUCCGUCGUUACGAUGUGCACUGGCCAGUCCUAUCUUGUUGUCGGUGACUAGCUCCUUGGAUUCACUUCCUGGGACUAGGAGCUGACGAGGUUACUUUGAGUAAAUUAGAGUGUUCAAAGCAAGCCUACGCUCUGAAUACAUUAGCAUGGAAUAACACGAUAGGACUCUGGCUUAUCUUGUUGGUCUGUGAGACCAGAGUAAUGAUUAAGAGGGACAGUCGGGGACAUUCGUAUUUCAUUGUCAGAGGUGAAAUUCUUGGAUUUAUGAAAGACGAACUUCUGCGAAAGCAUUUGUCAAGGAUGUUUNCAUUA
rnacentral:rRNA from 1 species